ensembl:snRNA U7 U7 small nuclear RNA
GAGUGUUACAGCUCUUUUAGAAUUUGUGUAGCAGAGGCCGGGUAUGGUGGGUCACUCCUGUAAUCCCA